ACCUGGCUGGCUCAGUCGGUGGAGCAUGAAACCCUUGAUCUUGAGGUCGUGAGUUCAACCCCCACGUUGGGUG
rnacentral:tRNA from 1 species